GAUGAACGCUGGCGGCGUGCCUAAUACAUGCAAGUAGAACGCUGAAGGAAGGAGCUUGCUCUUUCCGGAUGAGUUGCGAACGGGUGAGUAACGCGUAGGUAACCUGCCUGGUAGCGGGGGAUAACUAUUGGAAACGAUAGCUAAUACCGCAUAACAGUAGAUGUUGCAUGACAACUAUUUGAAAGGGGCAAUUGCUCCACUACCAGAUGGACCUGCGUUGUAUUAGCUAGUUGGUGAGGUAACGGCUCACCAAGGCGACGAUACAUAGCCGACCUGAGAGGGUGAUCGGCCACACUGGGACUGAGACACGGCCCAGACUCCUACGGGAGGCAGCAGUAGGGAAUCUUCGGCAAUGGACGGAAGUCUGACCGAGCAACGCCGCGUGAGUGAAGAAGGUUUUCGGAUCGUAAAGCUCUGUUGUAAGAGAAGAACGAGUGUGAGAGUGGAAAGUUCACACUGUGACGGUAUCUUACCAGAAAGGGACGGCUAACUACGUGC
rnacentral:rRNA from 1 species